AAGCGUGCGUAGGCGGCUGAUUAAGUCAGAUGUGAAAUGCCCCGGGCUCAACCUGGGAACUGCAUCUGAUACUGGUCAACUAGAAUGUGGGAGAGGAGAGUGGAAUUUCCGGUGUAGCGGUGAAAUGCAUAGAGAUCGGAAGGAACACCAGUGGCGAAGGCGGCUCUCUGGACCAACAUUGACGCUGAGGCACGAAAGCGUGGGUAGCAAACAGGAUUAGAUACCCUGGUAGUCCACGCCGUAAACGAUGUCAACUAGCCGUCGGGCCCGCUCUAGGGGUCGGUGGUGCAGCUAACGCAUUAAGUUGACCGCCUGGGGAGU
rnacentral:rRNA from 1 species